rnacentral:rRNA from 1 species
GGCGGACGGGUGAGUAACGCGUGAGAAUCUGGCUCCAGGUCGGGGAUAACAGUUGGAAACGACUGCUAAUACCGGGAUGUGCCGAGAGGUGAAAGAUUUAUUGCCUGGAGAUGAGCUCGCGUCUGAUUAGCUAGUUGGUGGUGUAAGGGACCACCAAGGCGUCGAUCAGUAGCUGGUCUGAGAGGAUGAUCAGCCACACUGGGACUGAGACACGGCCCAGACUCCUACGGGAGGCAGCAGUGGGGAAUUUUCCGCAAUGGGCGAAAGCCUGACGGAGCAAUACCGCGUGAGGGAGGAAGGCUCUUGGGUCGUAAACCUCUUUUCUCAAGGAAGAAGAAAGUGACGGUACUUGAGGAAUAAGCAUCGGCUAACUCCGUGCCAGCAGCCGCGGUAAUACGGAGGAUGCAAGCGUUAUCCGGAAUGAUUGGGCGUAAAGGGUCUGCAGGUGGAACUGAAAGUCUGCUGUUAAAGAGUUUGGCUUAACCAAAUAAAAGCGGUGGAAACUACAGAACUAGAGUGCGGUAGGGGCAAAAGGAAUUCCUGGUGUAGCGGUGAAAUGCGUAGAUAUCAGGAAGAACACCGGUGGCGAAAGCGUUUUGCUAGACCGUAACUGACACUGAGGGACGAAAGCUAGGGGAGCGAAUGGGAUUAGAUACCCCAGUAGUCCUAGCCGUAACGAUGGAUACUAGGCGU